rnacentral:rRNA from 1 species
ACCAGACUCCUACGGGAGGCAGCAGUGGGGAAUAUUGCACAAUGGGGGAAACCCUGAUGCAGCGACGCCGCGUGAGUGAAGAAGUAUUUCGGUAUGUAAAGCUCUAUCAGCAGGGAAGAAAAUGACGGUACCUGACUAAGAAGCCCCGGCUAACUACGUGCCAGCAGCCGCGGUAAUACGUAGGGGGCAAGCGUUAUCCGGAUUUACUGGGUGUAAAGGGAGCGUAGACGGCAUGGCAAGUCAGAUGUGAAAGCCCGGGGCUCAACCCCGGGACUGCAUUUGAAACUGUCAGGCUGGAGUGCAGGAGAGGUAAGUGGAAUUCCUAGUGUAGCGGUGAAAUGCGUAGAUAUUAGGAGGAACACCAGUGGCGAAGGCGGCUUGCUGGACGAUGACUGACGUUGAGGCUCGAAAGCGUGGGGAGCAAACAGGAUUAGAUACCCGCGUA